UGGGGAAUAUUGGACAAUGGGCGCAAGCCUGAUCCAGCCAUGCCGCGUGAGUGAUGAAGGCCUUAGGGUUGUAAAGCUCUUUCGCCGGUGAAGAUAAUGACGGUAACCGGAGAAGAAGCCCCGGCUAACUUCGUGCCAGCAGCCGCGGUAAUACGAAGGGGGCUAGCGUUGCUCGGAAUUACUGGGCGUAAAGCGCACGUAGGCGGUUUCUUAAGUCGGGGGUGAAAUCCUGGAGCUCAACUCCAGAACUGCCUUCGAUACUGGGAAACUUGAGUUCGGGAGAGGUGAGUGGAACUGCGAGUGUAGAGGUGAAAUUCGUAGAUAUUCGCAAGAACACCAGUGGCGAAGGCGGCUCACUGACCCGAUACUGACGCUGAGGUGCGAAAGCGUGGGGAGCAAACA
rnacentral:rRNA from 1 species